GUGAUCUGAUCUCAAUUCACAUACAGACUAAGUAUUUCCCUGAAGAGCUUUUUGAAAAUGAUUUCCUUUCUCAAGGUCAGGGCAGGGAGUAUGAUCUUGUCUUAGGCAUUAAAAUCCAACGGCUGGAUCAAGGUUAGAACAGCCAAGAACACCAAAGGGAACAAUGAGGAGAAGGCUCUGCUAUGUCAGCCCCGCGUCUGUAGUGUCCCUGGGACUUGAAGAGGACUCAUCGCAUUCCAUCCUCUCUGAUGCACAGGUGGGAGCUAAGCCUGGGCCUUCAAGCUUCUUCCCUGCAGCAACGAGAAUUCAUCAAGGCUGAUGACAGCAGCCAGGGCGAGCAAAGGGUGUGGACCUGUGGGAGAACGUGGAGACAACCCUGGAUUGAGGCAGACUAUCAUCGUUGCCUCCUUCGCUGCCCUCAACUCACUUUGGACUUCAGCAUGACCUUGAACUUCUGACCCUUUUGCACCCGGCUCCCGAGUGCUGGAAUUGAAGCAUGUGCUGCCACACAGGAAUCAAUCCUAGAGCUUGGUUUAUACAAGGCAGAAACUUUACCAGCAGGGAUACAGCCCCAGUCACCCGCUGAAUCUCUACUUUAUGCAAUGUUGUGAUCAGAACAAGAUUGUCGAUGUAAGUUAUCCCUUUCACCUUCUCUUUUGUGACGUCAGCAGGACAGACAAGGAAAUCAAGAGCUUAAGGUAACUCUGAGUUGAGAGGCAGAACCAAGAAUGUGAGAUGUCUGGUCUGGAGCUCUUCAACAUUGUCUGAGAUGGCACAAGUCCACCGCACUCAGCUUUCUGGAUGUGAGCUACAGUAAGAAUGAGAAACACUAAACAUAGAUAAUGUUUGUUUUAAACCGUGCCUUAAUAACGUAAGUGAAAGCAAUGGAUUCUCACCUUCACAAUUACAAAGCACAGGCCAAGCACUACUCAAAAAUAAGAGUGGAAAGAGAUUUGCUGCCUAUAGGAGGCAAAGAAAGCCUGAGACUUCCUUUCAGGUUGAUGCCCUCAUCCGGCAAAGGGUGAACGGAAAUCGCUGGGAAGAAGCUGAGCCUGUCUCAGGUCCAGAGACCAGUUACCUUAGAUCAGGCUAGUUUACUGCCCUGAAGAUGCAUCCCUGGCUCACCUCUGUGUCAGAACUAACAUCUUGGAGCUGGGCAGUGGUGGCGCACACCUUUAAUCCCAGCACUAGGGAGGCAGAGGCAGGAUCUCUGAGUGUGAGGCCAGCGUGGUCGAAUUAGCUCUAGGACAGCUCAGGUUACACAGAGAAACCCUAUCUCAAAACAAAACAAAACAAAACAAAACAAAACAAAGCAAACAAACAAAAAACAACCAUACAAACAGAAAAAAAAAAAAAAAAACCACCACCAACAACCAAAAAGCAAAACAAAGCAAAGCAAAGCAAAGCAAAGCAAAGCAAAGCAAAGCAAAACCAAACCAAACCAAACCAAACCAAACCAAACCAAACCAAACCAAACCAAACCAAACCAAACCAAACCAAACCUUUUGGAAUCUAGUGACUUAGGAAACCCCUAGCUUCCACCAACCAAAAAAAACCUAAGGACAUAUCAGAUGGCACCUGAGACCUAUAGAUAGCGUUUCUUGUUUUGUUGUAACCACAUUUGUGAAGCACCCACCAAUGUAUUUAUAAAUUGCCUUAAUCGAUGACUUCUUUGUUCUGAUAGAAUACAACUCUAUGAAGCCACUAGCAUUGGGGAACAUGGAAUUUGGGAUAACCUAGCUCUGUGUUUUCCAGACCAUCAUCACUCAAAUUUGGCUCCAGAAUUAACUAUUCCCUU